UAUGAAGAGCAUUUAAAACAGUGCCUAAGCCUGGGACACUGCCAGUGCUUUGUGUUUUCACAGUCCUGUGUUUGGUAUGGAGAGUGUGGAAUUGCAUAUGGAGACAAGAGGUACAAUUGCGAAUAUUCUGGCCCACCAAAACCAUUGCCAAAGGAUGGAUAUGACUUAGUGCAG
rnacentral:sRNA from 1 species